GACGAACGCUGGCGGCGUGCUUAACACAUGCAAGUCGAACGGAAAGGCCCUGCUUGCCGGGUACUCGAGUGGCGAACGGGUGAGUAACACGUGGGUGAUCUGCCCUGCACUUCGGGAUAAGCCUGGGAAACUGGGUCUAAUACCGGAUAGGAGCCAUUUUUAGUGUGAUGGUUGGAAAGUUUUUUCGGUGUAGGAUGAGCUCGCGGCCUAUCAGCUUGUUGGUGGGGUAAUGGCCUACCAAGGCGGCGACGGGUAGCCGGCCUGAGAGGGUGGACGGCCACAUUGGGACUGAGAUACGGCCCAGACUCCUACGGGAGGCAGAAGUGGGGAAUAUUGCACAAUGGGCGCAAGCCUGAUGCAGCGACGCCGCGUGGGGGAUGACGGCCUUCGGGUUGGAAACUCCUUUCGCUAGGGACGAAGCUUUUUGUGACGGUACCUAGAGAAGAAGCACCGGCUAACUACGUG
rnacentral:rRNA from 1 species